rnacentral:lncRNA from 1 species
GGAUGCAUGCGAAUCAUCAAUUGCUCGAUCCAAACUUAAACAGAUUAAAAAGAACAACUAUAAAAAGACCUGAUCCAUUAAAUAUUCCAUAGAAAAUAAGCAUCUUCCAUCGAACCACAAAUUUCAACAUCACAUAGUUAAUGUAAAGCCUAAACAUAAAAGGAUUAGUUCCUUAAUCUUUGGUGGUCUUAACUUUGCUAAAGAAUCAGCUUUAUAUUUGAAUGCACACAGCACUAUAUUUCACAUGACCUGGCAGCUUUGAUUGUUGCGCAGAAUAUAGAAUCCAGAACACACUGAUUCAGCGCACACAUAUCCAGUGAGCCUUUUGUUGAUUCCAACUCAAAGAGAGCAGGCUUUUCUUCCCUGCAGUUUAGCAGUUCUGGUAAUCUGUUUUGUACCUCCAUUUUACACAGUUUAGCAAUUUAGCAUUUCAGCAAGAUUACAAGCGAUUCAAAGAGGGAAAAAAGCAAACACUAAGAUGGCAACCAAAGAAAGAAAGAAAACAAACCUGGUGAAGAAACCAAUCAAGCUGAGAGCAAACCACAGCUGGAGAACUCUCUCACAGACACCACAGAAUCACUUACAAUAUAACAUAAAAAGCACAAGCAUUCAUCUCUCGCGCAGACUUUGCCAUAAUAAUAUUUUUACACAAACAUAGAGGUAACAUCAAUACAAACCAAACAAGUUUUCCCUCUCCAUUUCUACUUAUUAAAUCUUUCAAACACAUUAUCUAAAAGACUUUAUGGGGUGUGAGGGGUGGGAACUAAUAUACCAAAAACAUAUUUUGGUUGUACCAUGAUUAUCUAAGCCAGGCCUAAACGACAAGCCGAGGUCGCCCUGAGCCUAGCCGAGGUGACUAGGCAUUGGUGUUUGAGUGAAAAUACUUACCAAUUGUCUGUAAAGCUCAAA